GCCAGUGUGGCAUAGUGGUUUGAGUGCUGGACUAGGAGUGGAGUGGAGACUGGGCUCGAUUCCCAGCUCGGUCA